UACGGAGGGGGCUAGCGUUGUUCGGAAUUACUGGGCGUAAAGCGCACGUAGGCGGCUUUGUAAGUUAGAGGUGAAAGCCCGGGGCUCAACCCCGGAAUAGCCUUUAAGACUGCAUCGCUUGAACACGGGAGAGGUGAGUGGAAUUCCGAGUGUAGAGGUGAAAUUCGUAGAUAUUCGGAAGAACACCAGUGGCGAAGGCGGCUCACUGGACCGUUGUUGACGCUGAGAUGCGAAAGCGUGGGGAGCAAACAGG
rnacentral:rRNA from 1 species